CCAGACUCCUACGGGAGGCAGCAGUAGGGAAUUUUGCGCAAUGGGCGAAAGCCUGACGCAGCAACGCCGCGUGAUUGAUUAAGCCCUUCGGGGUGUAAAGAUCUGUCAGUGGGGACGAAACUUGACGGUACCCACAGAGGAAGCACCGGCUAACUCCGUGCCAGCAGCCGCGGUAAUACGGAGGGUGCAAGCGUUGUCCGGAAUCAUUGGGCGUAAAGAGUUCGUAGGUGGCAUAUUAAGUCUGGUGUUAAAUGCAGAAGCUCAACUUCUGUUCGGCACUGGAUACUGGUAAGCUUGAAUGCGGUAGAGGUAAAGGGAAUUCCUGGUGUAGCGGUGAAAUGCGUAGAUAUCAGGAGGAACAUCGGUGGCGUAAGCGCUUUACUGGGCCGUAAUUGACACUGAGGAACGAAAGCCGGGGUAGCAAAUGGGAUUAGAUACCCCUGUA
rnacentral:rRNA from 1 species